CGCGAAUGGCUCAUUACAACAGCUAACAAAUCUACUUGAUCUUGACACAAUCCUACUUGGAUAACUGUGGUAAUUCUAGAGCUAAUACAUGCAUUAAAGCUCUGACCUCACGGGAAGAGUGCAUUUAUUAGAACAAAACCAAGCGGCUUCGGCUGUUUCUGGUUGACUCAUAGUAACUGAGCUGAUCGCAUGGUCUUGCACCGGCGACGUGUCUUUCAAGUAUCUGCCGUAUCAACUUUCGAUGGUAGUGUAUCUGACUACCAUGGUGAUCACGCGUAACGGAGAAUAAGGGUUCGGCUCCGGAGAGUUCGCCUGAGAAAUCGCGAACACAUCUAAGGAAGGCAGCAGGCGCGAAAAUUACCCACUCUCAGCACGAGGAGGUAGUGACGAAAAAUAACGAGACCGCUCUCUUAUGAGGCCGGUCAUCGGAAUGGGUACAAUUUAAACCCUUUAACGAGUAUCUAUGAGAGGGCAAGUCUGGUGCCAGCAGCCGCGGUAAUUCCAGCU
rnacentral:rRNA from 1 species